rnacentral:rRNA from 1 species
CACGUAGGCACCAAGCGUUGUCCGGAUUUAUUGGGCGUAAAGAGCUCGUAGGCGGUUCAGUAAGUCGGGUGUGAAAACUCUGGGCUUAACCCAGAGCCGCCACUCGAUACUGCUGUGACUUGAGUUCGGUAGGGGAGCAGGGAAUUCCUAGUGUAGCGGUGAAAUGCGCAGAUAUUAGGAGGAACACCGGUGGCGAAGGCGCUGCUCUGGGCCGAUACUGACGCUGAGGAGCGAAAGCGUGGGGAUCAAACAGG